CGAAAACCAUAGGUUGUUUAGCAGCAAAUGGCGAACCCGAGAUAACAUUACCUACGGCAACCUCUCGAAAUCCGCUCUCGUUCGGCUCACGCAUCUUCUCUAGCACUCCCCUCCACGCCAGCACCCGCGAGAGAUCCCCCUCGGCGGCGAUGGGCAGGUCGAGAUCGAGGAGCAGAUCGCCCAAGAGGCACAAGAGCAAGAGAUCCCACAAGAGACGUUCUCGCUCGAGGGACAGGGAGAGGCGGAGGCACAGGGACCGAGAGCGAUCCAAGGAGCGGGCGGCCAAGGCGAGUCGCAAACCAUCAAGAUCAUCAUCUUCAUCAUCAAGCAGUGAUGAAGAACCUAGAACGAGAGAGAAAAAGAUUGAUGAGGUGGACAGAUUGGCUGAAUUGGAGAGAGUUAGGAGACAGAGGGAGGCUGAACAAAAAAUGGUUGAAGAAGUAGCAGCCAAAAGGUUGGAGGAGUUAGUAGCUCGGAGAGUAGAGGAGGAGCUAGAACGAAGGAGGGAUGAGAUAGAAGCUGAAGUUUUAAGGAGAGUAGAGGAGGCCAAGCGCCUCAUGGAACAACAGAUGCUCGAAGAGCUUCAGGAAAAGCGCCGGCAGCAGGAGGAGGAUCAAAAGAAGCGAGAGGUAGAGCUUUGUGAAUUGUGCUUCAGUGGGAUAUUUUGCUGGAUUUGUCAAGCCUUGGGCACAGGAGCUCUGUUGUGUAUUCUGAUAGGGAGGGGUGGGUGGGGGUUUCAAGCAAAGGAGAAUAAAUUUGGGUUAGAUGAAAGGAGAAGGGAGGUCGCUAGAGAAGGAAAGGUGGGCAAGAGAUGUCCGGGAUUAUACCAAAGAGCAUCCCAGGUGACUCCAAAAGGGCAGGCUAGGAAUGGGCUCCAUAUGGUCAGGGAAAAUCUCCGUUUUAUCAUUAUUUUAUUUAUUUUUAAUAAAACUAGAUGCUAAAGAAAGGAAAUAUCCUGAAAGUAGAUGAACCAAAAAGAAUGUGGUCAUUGGCUGUCUGUGCCAUUCCACACAUCAAGGAGGAGGGGCUUUCAGUGAACUUAAGAGUUAGAUUUUGCUGCAUGUGGACUCUAAGCUGAUAGGAAGAAAAGCCACAAAGAAAAAAAAAAUUGAUUUAGCCUAUUCAAUCGUCACUAAUUCAAAUUAUUAGGUAAAACUACUGUAUAAUGAGGAUAAUAGAACAAUAAAUUUCCAUUUUGCAUGAAGACUAACUCACACUCUUUCAGCUGAACUUUCUGUGUUUUGAAAGUGAAAUGUGAAUUUGAGGCAAUAAAGUUUCCCAGAGACAUGAUGUACAAACUUUGUAAACUCUGGUAUGUGUUGCAGUUUGACCACAUUGCCCCAGACAGUUUGUUGAAUGCAGGAGUGAAAGGAAUCUGCCUUUAAUCUCUGUCUCCAACUUUAUUUAUCGUCUGGCAAAUAUGUAUAUCCCUGUACAUUUUUUUAUAUAAAUUUUUGUUUUUUUGUUUUUUUGUUUUUGUUUUUCUUUUUUGUUUCUUUCAUAUUCCCCAAUACAUAUGUGCAUGUGUGUGAGUGUGUGUGCAAAUGAGAGUGUAAUCAGUUCAUUCUUAACUGUCUGGAAACACACGAACAUAGCAGUGUGGCAAUGAGGCAUUUUAGUGGUGAAUCACUCUAAACAGAAUAGACAUAUUAUUGGCGGCUUGCAACCAAGAAUUGUCAGCUGCGGAUUUUAGGCCAGAGCUGUUCUAGGAGUGGAUUUGGCGGCAUCCAUAUGGUAACUAUAUACAGGUAUAGUGAUUUUUAUAAUGGAUGCAUCUUAAAUCCAUUAAGCAGGUAAGAUUUCCAUUUUUGACGUGUCUUUGGAUGACACAGAUGAUGUCGCACUUGAGUAGCUCACAUUUUGUUAUGUAAAUGAUUGCUGUACUGUACUAGAUUUAUAAAGCAGUGGGAAGCUUGCCAUUUUAAUGGGUUUAGUUGUAUCUUAAAUCUUUCAGCAAAGGCUCAAAAUUUAUCUUAAUAAGUAAAGUGAGAUUGUAUUGCCUUUUCUGUGAGAUCACUUGUGUCUGUGUCUUAGUGUUCUCAGUAAGCAUGUUGUCCUAUACAUUGGUCACAUCUUUUUUUUUAAUUUUCACCUGUAACUCAACAUGCUUGCUACUAGAAAAAUUUAACUCUGAAUUAAGUACUAUUUUUAAAGUCUGUAUUGUCAUAUACUAUACCCUUGCUUUUGUACCCAAUGUUACUAUUGAUGUUUGACAUGAAUUGUACUUUAUUUAUUCAAGUGGUUCUCUGCCAGUUGCCUGUAACCUCCCACUUUGAUAUGCCACAUACAUGAAAAUCCAUAUCUCCAUUGUGCUACAUAAAAAGAAAGUCUUUUAAAACGCUGAUUAAUAUUUUUGAAUAGCUGUAGGCAGUUUUCACUUUUAUCUAGGUUUCUACAUGAGUUUUUACAUUUAUGAUUGAUAAUGUGAUUUUUUAGCAAAACUUACUUUGAUAAAAGAAAAAAAAAUCAUUGAUAUUACUUGGGUUGAAAGAGUGAAGAGGCUUCUGGCAACUGGCUUUUUAAAAAAAUUUUGACUUGACCUCACCUGAUGCGUAUUUGACGCCUCAUUCUACUUUCUAGGAGGAGGAACGUAAACAGCGGGAGGAACUGGAGCGAAUUAUGGAAGAGAACAAAAGAAAAAUAGAGAUUGCCCAGAUGAAAUUGGCUGAGCAGCAGCUACAAAUGGUGGAGGAGCAGCGAAAGAUUGAUGAGGAGCGGCAGAAAAUCAAGAGGGAGCAGGAAAAGCGGACACGUGAGGAGCAAAAGAUCAUCCUUGGGAAGAACAAUGCGCGGCCCAAGAUCUCCUUCUCUAUCUAAAGCUAGAUACCCACAUGCAUGGGGUCUUUUAUGUUGUAGGUCCACACUCUUUCAUAUGAUUUCAAUUUGUUUUUGUUUUGUUUUUUAUUUCUAUUUUUUUAUUUUUUAUUUAUUUAUCAUUAUUUUUUUUCCUUAGUCAUUAUUACUAUCAUAUACUUUAUCUCUUUUUCGUAUUUUGUUUUUUACAGGAUAUGUUUCUGCUAUGCAUGAGUGUGAUUGACUUAACUGAUAAGGGUGUGGAGAGCCACACACUUUGUGAUUGCAUGAACCCUUGGUUUUAUUUAUUGUUGGUGUUAUUAUUAUUAUUAUUAUUAUUAUUAUUAUUAAUCAUCACUAUUACUAUCACUUACUGUUAUUAUUAUGAAGAUAAUUACUGUUAUCAUUAUCAUUUUCAUUAUUGCUUAUUUUUUUAUUAUUAUUAUUACUUUAGUAUUGAUUUAUUUGUGCUCUUUCAGUGAUGCUCAUCUCUUGUUUUUAGAAUAUGCAGUUGCACGAGUGUCUGGCUUUCCAUUAAACAUAGUAGAAAAUAAGCUAGUUAAGGGUCUUUCAGAACCUGGGUUCUUUUGAUGUCAAUGCCUACAAUGUGAGUGCUAAAUGUUACAACAAAAGUGGAAGUAGAAACUACUGCCCCAAAACCCCUACUUCUUUUGCUUUGAGUGAUUGAAGGCAAAAACUAAGCUAUAAUCUGCGAUUGUGUUAUAAUCGUAGCGGUGAAAGAUAACGGUGAGAGAAUAUAAUUCAGAGGGUAAUGAACACUACUAUAAGAAAACCCCCUGACAAUGGCUCAGGCCAGCACUCAGAGUAGCUAGGACUAAGGCUGCAUUAGGCAGUCUUGGUUCAUACUGAUGUAUUUCAGGCGCUUAUAGUAUAACUGUAUCCUAAUCAUCUGCAAAUCAUUUCAUAUGUCCUUCAUCCCAUGUUUGUAAAGUCAUGAUCUUUCACCCGAGUAAGUGUCUUGCCAUAGUGGCAGCAGACAUAAGAAAACAAUUGUAUAUAUAGCACAUGGAUCACAGAUCAUGUACAAAGUUGUACUUCUUUGGUUGGAGUAGAACUUCAGCUACUUUUCACCUGCACUGGUGAAGACUUCCUCAUCAGUCUUUAGAGAAUGGAAAUAAAUACCAUUUGUAUUGGA